CCUACGGGUGGCAGCAGUGGGGAAUAUUGCGCAAUGGGCGAAAGCCUGACGCAGCGACGCCGCGUGAGGGAUGAAGGUCUUCGGAUCGUAAACCUCUGUCAGCAGGGAAGAACGGUCACUGUGCUAAUCAGCAGUGAAUUGACGGUACCUGCAAAGGAAGCACCGGCUAACUCCGUGCCAGCAGCCGCGGUAAUACGGAGGGUGCGAGCGUUAAUCGGAAUUACUGGGCGUAAAGCGCUCGUAGGCGGUAUGUCAAGUCAAGGGUGAAAUCCCCGCGCUCAACGUGGGAAGUGCCUUUGAAACUGGCAAACUGGAGUGUGUGAGAGGAUAGUGGAAAUCCAGGUGUAGGAGUGAAAUGCGUAGAUAUCUGGAGGAACAGCAGUGGCGAAGGCGACUAUCUGGCACAUAACUGACGCUGAGGAGCGAAAGCGUGGGUAGCAAACAGGAUUAGAUACCCCUGUAGUC
rnacentral:rRNA from 1 species